AGUUCAGAUCUCCGAGUUUCUUCUUGGAUGCCCUAUUUCACGAUGUUGAAGGGAGAAUGCAUUUGGUUUAUAUUCCAGGUUGCCUCAAACGAUUGAAAUUUACAUCAAAUGAGGCAUACAGGAGGCCGUUGGAUGGGUUCCAAUGGUUCAAGUUGUCCUGGCUGCAUUAGGUUUCAUUGUGUUUGGAGGAGGUAGUGUUGAUCCCGGUUC